rnacentral:rRNA from 1 species
GCUUGUCUCAAAGAUUAAGCCAUGCAUGUCUAAGUAUAAGCACUUAUACCGUGAAACUGCGAAUGGCUCAUUAUAUCAGUUAUAGUUUAUUUGAUAGUUCCUACUACUUGGAUAACCGUAGUAAUUCUAGAGCUAAUACAUGCGACAACCCCUGACUGCUUGCAGAAAGGGCGUAUUUAUUAGAUACAACCAACCCUUCGGGUCCCUGGUGAAUCAUAAUAACUUAGCGAACCGCAUGCUUCGGCGGCGGUGAUUCAUUCAAGUUUCUGCCCUAUCAUGCUCUCGAUGGUAGUGUAUUGGACUACCAUGGCUCUCACGGGUAACGGGGAAUUAGGGUUCGAUUCCGGAGAAGGAGCCUGAGAAACGGCUACUACAUCUAAGGAAGGCAGCAGG